rnacentral:rRNA from 1 species
ACUCAAAUGAAUUGACGGGGACCCGCACAAGCAGUGGAGUAUGUGGUUUAAUUCGAAGCAACGCGAAGAACCUUACCAGGUCUUGACAUCCCAAUGUAACGCCUAGAGAUAGGCGCCCUCUUCGGAGCAUUGGAGACAGGUGGUGCAUGGUUGUCGUCAGCUCGUGUCGUGAGAUGUUGGGUUAAGUCCCGCAACGAGCGCAACCCUUGAUCUUAGUUGCCAGCACGUAAGGGUGGGCACUCUAGGAUGACUGCCGGUGACAAACCGGAGGAAGGUGGGGAUGACGUCAAAUCAUCAUGCCCCUUAUGACCUGGGCUACACACGUACUACAAUGGUCGGUACAACGGGAAGCAAAGGAGCGAUCUGGAGCGAAUCCUUAAAAGCCGAUCUCAGUUCGGAUUGCAGGCUGCAACUCGCCUGCAUGAAGUCGGAAUUGCUAGUAAUCGCGGAUCAGCAUGCCGCGGUGAAUACGUUCCCGGGUCUUGUACACACCGCCCGU